rnacentral:rRNA from 1 species
AUUGAACGCUGGCGGCAUGCCUUACACAUGCAAGUCGAACGGCAGCGCGGACUUCGGUCUGGCGGCGAGUGGCGAACGGGUGAGUAAUACAUCGGAACGUACCCUGUUGUGGGGGAUAACUAGUCGAAAGAUUAGCUAAUACCGCAUACGACCUGAGGGUGAAAGUGGGGGACCGCAAGGACUCACGCAGCCGGAGCGGCCGAUGUCUGAUUAGCUAGUUGGUGGGGUAAAAGCCCACCAAGGCGACGAUCAGUAGCUGGUCUGAGAGGACGAUCAGCCACACUGGGACUGAGACACGGCCCAGACUCCUACGGGAGGCAGCAGUGGGGAAUUUUGGACAAUGGGGGCAACCCUGAUCCAGCAAUGCCGCGUGUGUGAAGAAGGCCUUCGGGUUGUAAAGCACUUUUGUCCGGAAAGAAAUCGCGCUGGUUAAUACCUGGCGUGGAUGACGGUACCGGAAGAAUAAGCACCGGCUAACUACGUG